rnacentral:lncRNA from 10 species
GAUAUGACAGGGAUUUUUCCUUCAGUCGGGCCUUUGCACGGCAGGGUAUGAUAAGGAUGUUUCUCCCCGCCUGAACCCCCGUGGAAUAUUUCACUUUGACCUGCAAAAUGGCAGAAGGCUUCCAAAAUGGUGCAGUUUGGACUAACAUUGGAUCUUUCUCUGUUUCCCAUAUUUGCUGAGGAGAAGCCACAAGCUCAAGCGGCUCCUACUGUUGUCCCAGGGAUGCUAGACAGCUGGUCUUCAAUUUGAUCCUGAGUGCAAGUCCCACCUCCAGAGUCUAGUCCCACCUCCUACUUCAUCAGGCAAUGGGGGAGAGAGAAAGGGGAUUUACUGCUUAACGGUUACAGAGUUACCGUUUGGGGGGGAUGAAAAAGUUUUUAAAUAGAUUGUGGUGAUGGUUACACAACGUUAUGAAUGUAAUUAAUGCCGCUGAAUUAUACAUUUAAAAACGGUUCAAUGGAAAUUUUAUGCCACACAUUAACAUAAUGUUAAAAAUGAAUAACGCAAUAUACCAACAACCGUUGAAUUUUA